GACGAACGCUGGCGGCGUGCUUAACACAUGCAAGUCGAACGGAAGGGCCCUGCUUUUGUGGGGUGCUCGAGUGGCGAACGGGUGAGUAACACGUGAGUAACCUGCCCUUGACUUUGGGAUAACUUCAGGAAACUGGGGCUAAUACCGGAUAGGAGCUCCUGCUGCAUGGUGGGGGGUGGAAAGUUUCGGCGGUUGGGGAUGGACUCGCGGCUUAUCAGCUUGUUGGUGGGGUAGUGGCUUACCAAGGCUUUGACGGGUAGCCGGCCUGAGAGGGUGACCGGCGACAUUGGGACUGAGAUACGGCCCAGACUCCUACGGGAGGCAGCAGUGGGGAAUAUUGCACAAUGGGCGGACGCCUGAUGCAGCAACGCCGCGUGCGGGAUGACGGCCUUCGGGUUGUAAACCGCUUUCGCCUGUGACGAAGCGUGAGUGACGGUAAUGGGUAAAGAAGCACCGGCUAACUACGUG
rnacentral:rRNA from 1 species